GUAGGAACUUCGCGUUCCCACCCUCCAGGGGAGGAGAUUGGAUCAGGCGCCAGCCUUGAGGUGUCUGAUUGGAGAAAAGCUGUGCAGUGCCGCUCCCCCGACCGACUCCUUGAGAAGAAACGGCGGAGACCUGAGACCCGGAGGCUGAGGCUGUAGGUGGGCUCCGCUGGGUAAAAGUUGCCGCAGCAGCUGUCCCUUGGCCCCAUCGCGAUUUAUUUUUCCCCCUUGCUUUCCGGGUCCCGGGAUCCCAAGUUUGUAACUAACGGGAGCGAAUCCACACCCGAGCAAAAUGUUUGCGAGUUUCAGGCGCCCUUAGUUGAAAGGCUGUAAUUAACAAGUCCGCUGUUUGCCAGCCAGGCGCCGUUGCAGGCGCUUUCUGUGGAUUGUCAUUUAUUUCUCACAGCAACCCUAGGAGAUGAAAUUGAAUCAUGGAAGAAUGCCUUUAUCUGAGGAGUCAUCACCACUAGGGAGCUAUGGAGGCUGUUAUCCUUGACAUCUGCAGCAGCCCUUCCAAGCUGUGGAGACCAGGUCAUCUGGAAUGCCCAUUUAUGUCAAUGGAAGAAAGAAAAAGGGGUCUCCUCCCAUCCUCACCACUGCAUUCUCCCACCAACCCUGCUCCUGUCCCACUUCCCACAACUCAGUUGUUGACAAUUUAACAGUGGGUUUCUGGAAACAGUGCUGCCUCCUUGAUGGUCUAACUAACUACCAGAGUUAUUCUAACAGCAGGAAUUUCAAGCCAGGUAAGGGGAGCUAUGUCAGGCUGCCAGAUGGUGGGGAAGACAGGUGUGGGUGAGCUGGCUUCAGACUAAAGGAAGAGGAGAUCAAGUGUUGGAAUCACAUUUGAGAAAAGGAGUCAAGUGAACUUCAUUACCCAUUAUAGAGGCCUGUUAUAUCCUUUAGUGCUAUUUGGACUUGGAUUGAACCUGUGACAAAUCCUUUUCUUAUGCUUCUUCCAUCCCUGCUUCCAUGUUAUAUCCUUUCCCCUUCUAAAAUGGUAAUAAUGAGAAAUAACUAUUACUAAUUACCCUAGAACAUAAAUUUCAUUUAAGGUGUCACAAUCAGAUUAUCAUCUUCAGUUUUUCAGAGCCGCAAACUUCCCAUGGUUAUAUGCAGGUAGUACUAAAUGGAUGGAUCUGGGAUCAAACUCAGGGCUUUCUGACUUUAAAAGUCUUGUUCUGCUACCCUCCAAGUGGCCUAGGGUGAUUUGCCCUAAACGGUUCACCUCUGUAUGAUGAUGCAUCCAUGCAGUGGGGCUUAUGGAAAGUGAAUGUGGAGCCUCAGGGCCUUAAUCUUGAAGCAGGCUCUCUAGAAGGGAGCUUGCAGAAGGAGUGGGGACUCGAUGAGAUGCUGUUUUCUCAUUGUGUUUCAGUGAUGACUGAAAAUUUGUUGCCAGCGUCUAUCUGGAAACAAUGUUUUGAUGAUCCACCACCCCAUCCCUCCAAACCACUUUCUUGCACAUACUCCAGAAUAAUAGACAGAAGAAUUUAAUACAUGUGAUGCUUUGCCUUCCAU
rnacentral:lncRNA from 1 species